UACGAAGGGUGCAAGCGUUGUUCGGAAUUAUUGGGCGUAAAGGGUUCGUAGGCGGGAGAGCAAGUUGAGUGUGAAAACCCUGGGCUUAACCUGGGACGUGCACUCAAGACUGUUUUUCUUGAGUAUGGGAGAGGGUGGUGGAAUUGCUGGUGUAGGAGUGACAUCCGUAGAGAUCAGCAGGAACGCCGGAGGCGAAAGCGACCACCUGGUCCAAGACUGACGCUGAGGAACGAAAGCGUGGGGAG
rnacentral:rRNA from 1 species